CAUAACAGACAUAUUUAUGGGUAUUUCAGAAAUACUGGUUUUAGUCUUAAGAGGUCAGCAAAGCAUCACGACUAUCUCAGAACCAAGAGGGAACUGACAUUCAAAGCUAAAGGCCUGCAACUGGAUCAGAGACCGAGAAGAGGCCACUUACCUGGGGACCAUCACUCCUACAGUGCGAGGACAGCACGAAGGCAGGCUCUGCAGAGCACGCCAUGUCCAGCCCCAAGCACACCCCGUCACUCCGAGCGGCUUGGGGUUUGGAAUCAGGCAGCACGUCCAAACCCCAGGUGAUUCUGCCUACUCAACCAGGACAAAGGAAGGAGCUGGACAAGGAGUGUGGAACUGCAAUCCCUCCCCAACCAGCAACCCCUGGGGCUCCACUGGCUGACCAGGGAGUGUUUUGGUCACGCUGUGACAUUCAGCACAGGGUCUUGGUGGCAGGAGGCAGAGAACAGCAUCUGACUGCAGUUCUGAACCUAUCGGCUGCACAGGGUACGAAGGAGGCACCAGUGUAAGUCAUUGAUAAUCGUGUGUAUGUACUAAUAUGUUGCCUGUUGGUCAUGUUAAAUACGUGUGAAUUAAUGGAGCCAAGAGGUACUUUCUAAAUAUGUGAUGAAGAGCUACACUUGUGUCUGAAGGGCAAUUAUCUGUCAGAGUGCAUGCUGGAGAACGAAAUGAAGUCUGGAUCAGAAACAAAACCCAUUUAUAGCUAUAAUUAAUCACUUGAAAUCAGAGCAGUUUUUAAAAAGGUAUUCUUGUUGAAUCAGAAGUCAUCGAAGUAAAUACUGCAGUUGUGGGUUAAAAUACUGACGCUGACAAAGGGACCCGGAGCAGAUGAUCCCUCCAGGCUGUCACAAACACUCCGACAGCAUGCUAAGCCCACAUCAAGUCAGGACAAAACUGAGUUUUUCUUUAUAGGUGUAAUGCACAUUAAAACCUGCAAAGCACUGAAAUAACUGUGAGAGCCCACGCUUCUGUACAAAUGUGGAUUUAGCCAGCAUAAUUGGUUAAACUAUUCUCUCUCUGCUCUGGAUCACCAAUUGCCCAAGCAGCCACAGGAAUCUAAUUCUUUCCAGGUGGUUUAGACAUCGAACUGUUUUCCACCUCCAAGACCAGGGAAAGCAUCUGAUCCAGAAAAUCAUUCCAGAAAGCAGGCAGAACUCCCUGGCACAGCUCAAGGAAGGGAUUUCACUCUGUCACAGCAUCUACUACAAAAAAUCUGUCUCCUGAAAACAUACACUUUUCUGUUCCAAUUCAUAAUCUGGAGUUGUUAAAUCACCUAUAAAUUUACCCUAUUUAUGGGCACUUGGCUUUUUCAAGCUGUGACCUGAAGUGUCAUCCAAGUGGGCUAUAGCCAAAGUAAUUAAUUGGAAUCACACAGAGCAGCCAAGAAAGCAAGAAUGCCCCUUGCUGACAUUUCUGUUGGUCCUACAAAUGGGCCUUUAAUUUCUAAAGCCACUAUCACUAAUAAACAGUCAUUCACGUUUCUUAUUCUACUCUCAGCUCAAGAUCUGGAGAUUUCGUUUUACAGCUUAAAUAAAACUGAAGGACUUCAUAAAUUACCAGGUAUUUAAACUGAAGAAAUUUUUAGAGUAGCCAGAAGAGAUCACUGCUAGGGAUCACCUCAUGGAGAUAUCGUUAUUCUCCUGCAAUGAGACUGAGAAGCCCCCGAAGCAUCCCCUCUGUAUCUCAUGGGAAUAUAUUCAUUGGGAGAGCCAGAGCAGCUUUCCUAGAAGAACACAUGCUGAUGAAGCUGAUUUCUGAGGCCAUUAAGAAACUCAUUGCUAUUUAACACAGAUUCCUGGAGAACAAUGGAGAUGUAGCUGAAUUUACCCACGAAGUUAGACUUCAAAAAUCAGAGAGCUUACUUCCCAAAUAAUGAAGUAUUAAUAGUUGAUACAUCUGUGUGGGGCUAAAAUGAUUAAACUGUAAAAGGUAUUCAUAGAGAAGCCAAAGUAGUAAGCAUACCACUGAGAUACACUGAAUUUUAGAGCUGUUUGUAUAUAACAAGAGCUGUAAGCUCUCACAGAUGUGGGAUAUUUAUACCACCCUUUUUCCAAAGAGAAACUAAAGCUUUUCAAAAUGCUGCUGCUGCUUUUUUUCCAUUUUGUAUAGCUUUGACUCCAUGCCCAGCAUGGGCUAUAGCUGCAGUGUUUUAGACACUUGAUUUCCUGACUCUCCUGGAAGGACUCUGCACUGACCAUAAAGAAACUUCUGACUCAGAUGCACACAGGGACAGCCCAGAGACAGCCUUGCCUUUUGGGCGCUGCAAUAAAUAUCUGUAAUACUACUCGGCACUCAUGCAGGACAAUGUCUCACAGGUUCAUCUGUAGCGACCUGGAAAUAGGUUCCUAGCUAUCUGCGGGACGGACUGGCGACACAGUGCAAGAUAAGUUCAAUUAACUGGGCUUCAUUUAAAACCAAGUACAUUCUUGACCUAUGCUUUUAUCAUAAAGUAAAAGAAUCAGCAUUAAAAAUGCGCUAAUAAGCAGGUAAAUAGCCAUAAGAAGGACAAUGACACCUCUGGAUUGUAUCAGUCAGAGCUCUUCUACUUUUUAUGCUGAUAUCCAAAGCUGUGGUGCAUCAGAAAGCACGUGCAGUCCUGCUACUAAGCCAGCGCCACCGACAGAAGAGCUCAGUACAGCUGCUGCUGGUACUCAGAACUAUAGUUUUGGUGACACACUGCUGAUUUGGACCUCCCGAGCACUUUUCUGUACUUAUCAACGCUUUGCACCCAACCGUAUGUAGAUAAACCCACCCAGCCUCCAAUUCCCAGGCUGCUGACACUGAUAAAAUCAGGAGGCAGAAACCCUGACGGACAGCAAGUUGAACACAGCAGGGUGCAAGCUAACCACAUCCCAGGUUGUACACACCAAGAGUGCUACCAGCUGUCACUGGGAAGUGACCUCCCCUCUUCUUGGCACUCACAUAUGCUUCUGUAGACCUUGGGGCCACCAGUACAAAAGUGAUCCUACCAAACUGGAGAAAGACCAGGGAAGACCUCUAAGAUGUCAGGGGGCUGAACGCAUGAUGCGGGAGGAGAGGCUGGGUUUGUUCAGGUUGGAGAAGGGAAGAUGAAGAGGGGUUUUAACUGCUGUGCUCUACUGCCUGAAAAGCACUGACAGAGAAAAUCAAGAUCUGAGAAGAUCAAGAUCCAAGACCUCAUCUGGAGUUAUUGCGUCCAGUUCUCAAAUCCUCAAGGUAAGAAGGAUAUGGAACUGUUGGAAUGGGUCCAGAGGAGGGCUACAAAGAUGACCAGAGUGCUGGAGCACCUCUCCCAUAUGAGGACAGGCUGAGAGAGUUGGGGUUGUUCAGCCUGGAGAAGAGAAGGCUCUGAGCAGACCUCACAGCAACCUUCCAGUACCUGAAGGGGCUACAAGAAAGCUGUGGAGGGACUGUGUACAAAGGUUUGUAAUGACAGGUCUAGGGGCAAUGAAUAUAAACUAGAGAGGGGCAGAUCUAGAUGACACAUAAGGAGGAACUUCACUAUGAGGGUGGUUAGGCACUGGAACAGGUUGCCCAGGGAACCUGUGGAUGCCCCUCCCCAGAGGUGUUCAAGGCCAGGCUGGAUGGGGCCUUGGGCAGCCUGGUCUUGUGGGAGGUGUCCCUGUCCAUGGCAGGAGGAUUGGAACUAGAUGGAUGAUCUUUAAGGUCCCUUCCAACCCAAACUCUUCUAUGAUUCUACGACUCUAAGAUACAGUCUUCUCAAUGGAAAGACAAUACAGAACAGACACAAACAGCAAGAUGAGAAAUUCCAACUAGAUAUGAGGAAAGAAAUUCUUCGGCGAGAUUGACUGAGCACUGAGACAGGUUGCUCAGAAAGACUGUGGACAUGCCAUCCUGACAGACAUGUACACCUCCACUGCACGAGGUUCUGAGUAACCUCAUCUAACCUUGGCAUUAAAUCUGGUUCAAGCAGGAGGCAGGCUAGCAGAGCUCCCUUUCAACCUAAAUGUAGCUGUUAUUUCUAUGAUGCUACAAAGACAGACUGAUCAUAUUUACUCAUUUACUUUCCCUUUGAAAGUAUUAAUUUAUACAAACUAGUUUCUUGACAGAAACUACAACUUUGAAUUACCAUGAUCUUAUUUACUUAACGUUGACAUUUACCUCAACAGACAUCAGCACUUCAAUUAUUAUAUGGAAUUAACAAAGGAGAUAAAGCACACUCAACAUAUGCCUCAAAAGCCCAAGGCAAUCAUUCAUCCUUACUGACUGUACCGGCAAUCGCUACUUAUCACUUUCCUAAGGUUACUGCAGAAAAUCAGUCUAGACUACUCUUGUCCAUCUGCAGAUGGAGAACCUUUCACAUGAAUGGUCACACUGCUGCUUUUGUAGGCUCUGGAGAGGCUACAGUUCCUUUCCUGCCACACGACUGUGUACGAACCUACCACAAUACUAAACCGUUGGCAUCAAUAUCGUGUAUUGUGGAUCUAUGUCUAAUCACACAAUUGGAAACAGCUACUUUUUCACUGUGUGACAGCUGCGUACUCCAUCUGGUGAUAGAAAAGGGAUGCAUGCCUAGGGAGAGCUGUCUGGGAGAGGACUGGAAGAACAAUUCACUUGGACUGCAUCAGCCUCCCUGAAUUCCUCUUAUGAAGCCCCAGCUGAAAAAGGACAACAAGCUACAGGCCAGAAUUAUUAUUUUGACAGAUGAGAUUCGGUUCUUGGCCAGGGUUUCUCUGCCCCAGUUGAAAUGAAGAGCUGUAAAUGACAAGAUUGUAACUGCUUUAAAAAUAGGCUUAGCUUUAAGAACACUGUUUUGCAGGUAAGCGGGAGCCUUGAAAGAAGAGCAGAAAGCUUUCUGAGAUAUGCAUACCAGCUCACAGUGUCUCCCAUGGACAUCUCCCUCAGAAGUGCCAGACAAUGGAAAGAAUAUAAAAGGCAUUUUGCAUCAUUAGUGCUCGAUUUUUAAUUUUCCAUUUUUCCUCCAAAUACUGCUCCUGUGCAGUCUGAAGCUUGUCAUCACACCUUCAGUAUGUGCCACUCACACAUACUAGCAUGAUGAUACUCAUGAUCCCAUGGAGACAUCAUUGUUUCCUGCUUACAACAUGGGAAGAGCAAAAUAGUAGUCUGAGUACUCUGAGACCCAGAUCACCUGAGCAGAGGACUGCUACUGGCCUGAGGAUAUUCCCUCUCAUCCUUUAAGUCUGAUUUCAAGAGGUACUUUUCCUGUUUGGGGCAUAAGAACUGGGCCUUGCCAAAUCAUCUAAAACUGGAAGAUUCAGCUCACAGGCUGCUGGCUUACAACGCUGCUUAAUUGUGGUUGUUAGCACCAAGUUAUUUCUCCCUCUUUUGCACCAUUGGAUUUAUAUUAAAUGCCAUUUGGGUAGAGUCUUUACAUUGCUCUGUUUACGUAUACUUCCAGCACAAGCAAUCCUGAUCAGCAUGUCUGGCUACUCUCAUACUGAAGAAAAUACAAAUAAAAGAUUUCCCCGUCCUGAAAGUUGCAUCAAACACAAGGAAUUGGUGGCUAGACCAAGACAAGCCAUAUUAGCAGAGCCCAGCUGAGGACAGCACUCCAGGCAGACAAAACAUACAAUGUCGUAAAAGCCAAAUUCAUAAGGGGUGCUAUUCUGAAAGUUGCUGUGCAGACAUGAACACAGACACUUUGCACACUCAGGGCACCACUACCAGACGCUUUUGUUUAAAAGCAUCAUCAUCAUGUCCAUCCGCAUUAAGAAAGACUAGGUAAAACUGAUGAGCAAAUGGUAUGAUGAAAAAAGACAGUCUGAUGCUGCUGUGAUGCAACCUCUGUGCUUGACUUUAACACUUUAUUCCAUAAACACAAGCCAGUACGAGAACCAGUAGCUCUCCUACUCUCAUAGCCAAUGUUAGUCCUACUGAGAAAGAUUCUUUCAUUAGCAAGCAGUGAAAAAUCUUAGGCUCAAAUGGAAACCCAUAAAGCACAAGACCAAGUUAAGGCCUCAGGUGAACCCUGGUCUAACGCAUUCCAAGUAGUCCUUCAUAAAAUCUACUAGUCAGGACACAUGAAAAGAUUGACACGUUUUACGUACACAUCUGGAGGUCAAACUCUGACACGGAAAUACCAUGGACCCUAAACUAAUUGAAAGAAAGGCCUGUGUCAAUUUCUUUAAAUGGAGACAUUACCUAGAAUACCUGACACAGUAGUAGAUGUACAGCAGAUGGAGAAUCUUUUCUGUUUUGCAAGUUAGACAGUCUGUUUACUACUCAGCAGAGUGUUCUGGGCUGCUUGUAAGCAAGGCCAUUCAGGAGAGUUUGACAGCCACACUGUGAAACUUAAACAAUACCCACUGAGACGGAGAACCUGAACACAACUUUGAAGCAGGAAGUCUUCUGUCAGCAAGAGCUACACAAAUGGAGGAGUUGAAGAGCAAAACUGGAUCAGUCUCUGUGCAAAGACUGGUCAGAAAUCUCCGAUUUGAAUGUUGUGUGUACAAAUAUGUACUUGUUCACAAUUCCAUCCAAAUGAGGUGAAAACACUUUGAACACUCUUUCACUGCCGGCUCAGAGAACUAGCUUAGUGACUCAGAUGUGAGCAAGGCUUUUUAAAGAGUAAAGUCUCACCUUUGCUCUGAUGGUACCUUACUAUACUUUGCAUUCACAUUAAUUGGUUCACAUCAACAUGAUGGUUGGACUUGAUGAACUUAGAGGUUUUUUCCAACCUUAACGGUUCUAUGAUUCUAAUUCAUAUACUUUUGAGAUUUAUGCAUUAUCAUUCAGAGAUAAAUUGAGACAAGAAAGCUCAUCCAAAGUCAAAAUUGUGCUCAGAAUGAAGGACGAGAUCUGUUAUUAUGCAAUGUGGCUCCCACUGCAAAGCCACCUGGCACCUUUCCUAACCAUUCACAAACACAGCACUUCUGACAUGUGGGUAUGAUCACAGCCAUUACUUUCCUAACUUGAACACAACCUCAAGCAUAGGUCACUUCCUAACAUAUCGUUACUCCUAACUGACAACCUUUUUUAAUUUAAUUCAUUUAAUUUUUAAUUUAAUUAAUUUUAAAAAAGGCAGGGAAUGAGCAACACUGUACGAAGUCAGUAUGGAGGCAGCUGGCAGGACACCACUUCACGUGUGCUUAAUAGUGUCUCACUGGGCAAAGUAUGGAAGGAUGGAAACUUGCGAAGAAAAAAGUCAUGGCAAUACUGCUGGACCACUCAUUUCACAUAGUACUGCUUCCAAAAAUGUCCUUAAUGACUUUGGACUUGUUGCACAAGCAAAGCAACAUGAUAAAGAAGUCUCCUUGUUCUCCUUUGAGCAUGCUGGACAACAUGGCUAAUGAGGUAUCUGACCCGUAUUUUGGCAGAAAAUAAACAAUGUCUUCAGCCCCUGCUCCAACAGACAAUCCUUUUAAAAUGCAUGUAACAGUAAGCGUUAUGGAAUAAAGUGAAUUAAAUACGAAACAAGAGUAAGGUGGCCUUGAAGGGCAUUUUCUGAACCACAUCUAGGUACAACAAAGAAUCCAAACUUCAGAAAGCAAGUGCAACUACAACGGCAAUAAAAAACUUCAGCAUUCUUGGAGGCUUUAGGGACUGCAGAGAAUCAAAUCUUAAUUUCCAAAGACAGCCUAAAUAAGUUAAUUGAGAAUUCCACAUCAGGAAUGCAGUUCACAUAAAGAAUGUUUCCCUGGCUGUUAAUCUGCUACAAGUUCGAUGCAGAAAGAGCUGUUAAGGUCUUCAAGUCAAUCCCUACCUCAGAGCUGUUUUCCAUCUGACACAGGAUCAGCACUCACAAUGCUCUGACCCAUUUUCUCAAACAUACAGGAAUGAAAGCAGAUCCUGAGGGGGUUUGAAAUGAUAAAUUUUUGGGGUGAGCUUGAGAGACUGAUCUCUAUUUUUUACAUGACUACACAAUGACAACAACUGAAUUCAACAAUUGCAUGGCAGUGCUGUAAGAUUAUAAAAUUCCUACAGCAUUUUGUAAGGGCGAGAAAAACCAAAGUCUGUGACAGAAGACAAAAUUGUGGUGUUUCUGCCUCAAUUUUUUAAUGUACCUUUAAAGCUUACAUAACAAAAAAGCAGAAGUAUAAUUUUCUCAUUAAAAUACUGAUAUUCCAUUAAUAAUUGUGAAUCUGAAUUAAGAUACCCUAGUGGCAAAGAUGCUUUAGAAUUUUUUCCCCUUGAGUUUGAGAAAGGACUGGCAUGAAAAAGCAGCAACACUUACAUAACACGGAAAAGAAUUCAACUGUAAGGGGCUGGACAGCCCCAAGUAUUCUAAGAAUAUUAUAUUCCCUAGGUGUGAUAUUGCUAUGAAGUAUCCAACUUUCUUUAAACACAAUCCUAGAUGGACUUCAGCUUUUAUGUGGCUUUACUCUAUAUUUAUCUUUCUUUAAGGCUUUCAUCUUUCAUAAAAGCUGAAGUCUAUCUAGGAUUGUGUUUAAAGAAAGUUGGGUACCAUAAAAAGUAUCAAAUUCAACUGAGGUUUACAAAUUAUCAAGUAAAAGGAAAAAAAUGUCUUCACAGUAAUUUUGUAGUCAGUUAUGAGAAAAAUCAUUGGAAGAAUUCAGGAUCAAAACUGUGGACUAUUUUCUACGCUUUGUUUUCAAGGUAAUAGAAAAAUUCCGCAUUUUGCUCCCAAAUGGAAGAGUAAAUUUGGAAAUGGAUGUUCUUUUCUGUGUACUAAAGCAAAAGCUAGUAUUAAACUCCAGAGAAAACAUCCUUGCAAUUUUCCUUAUGGGUUAGUUAGUUCCAACACAUGGCUUGCUGCGCUUAUAAUAUCUGUAGGAUUUUAUGUUCCUUUCAAUCCUCCUCCACUCCCUCUGAGCUCUGCAAUUCUUCUCAUCACCCACGCCUGCAAACUGUGUCUAGUAUUUGAGUCUUCUACUCCUCCUCAUACAUUUACUCUUUUCAGACAUGUAUUUGUAAAAUAUAAAGAUUUGAAUAAGUUUUCACUUUUAAAAUAGACAAAGAUAUUUCUACACCUAUUUCCAGAACUAUUGCUAAUAAGAAGAUGCACGUAUCUUAUUUGUCCUCAAAGAAGUAUUAUAAACAGAAUAGGUGUUUCAGAAAGUCAAAUAACUAAGUUUUUCUAUUCUUUAAAGAUUUUUAAAAAUCUAUCAUUUCAGUUAACUGUCUUAAAAACUAAAUCUACAGAAUCUUAACACAUAUUUUACUAAUAAACUGAAUUCCUUCUCUUCAAAGUUUAGAAUCUAAAACCGCGACUUGCAAGCCUAGUCCGAUGAAUGUUUGCACUGCACUUGGCAAGAAUUUGAAGUAUUUCAAUGUUUUGCUAUUUUAUGCAAGAAAAAGGAAUGGAAACACAGUGAACAGUUGUACAGAUUCUAAGAUAGAAAGGAAACAUGCAUGCAGUUGUAAUAUUUCAUCUAGACUUGGACGUAUUUCCUCCCAAAUCUGCAUAUUUUUGACUGCAAGUUUAAAAUGCAUCAAAUGAAAAGUAGAAAUGUUCUCCAAAACAUUCCCUUUUGAUUAAGGAUGCUUGCGAAAUUCAAAUAAAAGGGACAAGUCAUCAGUCACUAUCUGAUAUGACAUAAUUUAUGAUGAUAUAUUUAUGUUAAAAUAUCAGAACCAUCCUCAUCAGGCUUCCUCACCAAAUAAGCAACUGUUUUUAGGAGGUUUAUUCUUGUAAAACACACAUUGUAU